UACAGAGGUCUCAAGCGUUGUUCGGAUUCAUUGGGCGUAAAGGGUGCGUAGGCGGCGCGGUAAGUCGGGUGUGAAAUCUCGGGGCUUAACUCCGAAACUGCAUUCGAUACUGCCGUGCUUGAGGACUGGAGAGGAGACUGGAAUUUACGGUGUAGCGGUGAAAUGCGUAGAUAUCGGGAGGAACACCAGUGGCGAAGGCGACUUCCUGGCCUGUUCUUGACGCUGAGGCGGCGAAAAGCUAGGGGAGCAAACGGGG
rnacentral:rRNA from 1 species